UACAGAGGUCCCAAGCGUUGUUCGGAUUCACUGGGCGUAAAGGGUGCGUAGGUGGCCAGGUAAGUUCGGUGUGAAAGCUCGGAGCUUAACUCCGAAAUGGCAUUGAAUACUAUCUGGCUGGAGGGUCGGAGGGGAGACUGGAAUUCUCGGUGUAGCAGUGAAAUGCGUAGAUAUCGAGAGGAACACCAGUGGCGAAGGCGAGUCUCUGGACGACUCCCGACACGUGAGGCACGAAAGCCAGGGGAGCAAACAGG
rnacentral:rRNA from 1 species